UACGUAGGGGGCAAGCGUUGUCCGGAUUUAUUGGGCGUAAAGAGCGUGUAGGCGGCCAUGUAGGUCCGUUGUGAAAACUCGAGGCUCAACCUCGAGACGCCGAUGGAAACCAUGUGGCUAGAGUCCGGAAGAGGAGAGUGGAAUUCCUGGUGUAGCGGUGAAAUGCGCAGAUAUCGGGAGGAACACCAAUGGCGAAGGCAGCUCGCUGGGACGUUACUGACGCUGAGACGCGAAAGCGUGGGGAGCAAACAGG
rnacentral:rRNA from 1 species